CCAAUAGCGUAUAUUAAAGUUGUUGCAGUUAAAAAGCUCGUAGUUGGAUUUGUGGCUGUCACGGGCGGCCUAUCACUUAGUGUUAGUGCUUGCCUGUGUCGCCAUCCUUGGGUGGAGCCCGUGUGGCAUUAGGUUGUCGUGCGGGGGAUGCCCAUCGUUUACUGUGAGAAAAUUAGAGUGUUCAAAGCAGGCUUAUGCCGUUGAAUAUGUUAGCAUGGAAUAAUAAGAUAGGACCUCGGUACUAUUUUGUUGGUUUGCGCACCGAGGUAAUGAUUAAUAGGGACAGUUGGGGGUAUUCGUAUUUCAUUGUCAGAGGUGAAAUUCUUGGAUUUCUGAAAGACGAACUACUGCGAAAGCAUUUACCAAGGAUGUUUUCAUUAA
rnacentral:rRNA from 1 species